rnacentral:rRNA from 1 species
UACGGAGGAUGCAAGCGUUAUCCGGAAUUAUUGGGCGUAAAGCGUCCGCAGGUGGCACUUCAAGUCUGCUGUCAAAGACCGGGGCUUAACCCUGGAAAGGCAGAGGAAACUGAAGCGCUAGAGUGUGGCAGGGGUAGAGGGAAUUCCCGGUGUAGCGGUGAAAUGCGUAGAGAUCGGGAAGAACAUCGGUGGCGAAAGCGCUCUACUGGGCCAUAACUGACACUCAGGGACGAAAGCUAGGGGAGCGAAUGGG